AUUUAUAUAGUUUAAAUAAAACAUUACAUUUUCAUUGUAAAAUUAAAUCUAUCAUAAAAUUUUAUAAAUA
rnacentral:tRNA from 1 species